AAAUUGAAGAGUUUGAUCAUGGCUCAGAUUGAACGCUGGCGGCAGGCCUAACACAUGCAAGUCGAGCGGUAGCACAGAGAGCUUGCUCUCGGGUGACGAGCGGCGGACGGGUGAGUAAUGUCUGGGAAACUGCCUGAUGGAGGGGGAUAACUACUGGAAACGGUAGCUAAUACCGCAUAACGUCGCAAGACCAAAGUGGGGGACCUUCGGGCCUCAUGCCAUCAGAUGUGCCCAGAUGGGAUUAGCUAGUAGGUGGGGUAACGGCUCACCUAGGCGACGAUCCCUAGCUGGUCUGAGAGGAUGACCAGCCACACUGGAACUGAGACACGGUCCAGACUCCUACGGGAGGCAGCAGUGGGGAAUAUUGCACAAUGGGCGCAAGCCUGAUGCAGCCAUGCCGCGUGUGUGAAGAAGGCCUUCGGGUUGUAAAGCACUUUCAGCGGGGAGGAAGGCGUUAAGGUUAAUAACCUUGGCGAUUGACGUUACCCGCAGAAGAAGCACCGGCUAACUCCGUGCCAGCAGCCGCGGUAAUACGGAGGGUGCAAGCGUUAAUCGGAAUUACUGGGCGUAAAGCGCACGCAGGCGGUCUGUCAAGUCGGAUGUGAAAUCCCCGGGCUCAACCUGGGAACUGCAUUCGAAACUGGCAGGCUAGAGUCUUGUAGAGGGGGGUAGAAUUCCAGGUGUAGCGGUGAAAUGCGUAGAGAUCUGGAGGAAUACCGGUGGCGAAGGCGGCCCCCUGGACAAAGACUGACGCUCAGGUGCGAAAGCGUGGGGAGCAAACAGGAUUAGAUACCCUGGUAGUCCACGCCGUAAACGAUGUCGAUUUGGAGGUUGUGCCCUUGAGGCGUGGCUUCCGGAGCUAACGCGUUAAAUCGACCGCCUGGGGAGUACGGCCGCAAGGUUAAAACUCAAAUGAAUUGACGGGGGCCCGCACAAGCGGUGGAGCAUGUGGUUUAAUUCGAUGCAACGCGAAGAACCUUACCUGGUCUUGACAUCCACAGAACUUUCCAGAGAUGGAUUGGUGCCUUCGGGAACUGUGAGACAGGUGCUGCAUGGCUGUCGUCAGCUCGUGUUGUGAAAUGUUGGGUUAAGUCCCGCAACGAGCGCAACCCUUAUCCUUUGUUGCCAGCGGUUAGGCCGGGAACUCAAAGGAGACUGCCAGUGAUAAACUGGAGGAAGGUGGGGAUGACGUCAAGUCAUCAUGGCCCUUACGACCAGGGCUACACACGUGCUACAAUGGCAUAUACAAAGAGAAGCGACCUCGCGAGAGCAAGCGGACCUCAUAAAGUAUGUCGUAGUCCGGAUUGGAGUCUGCAACUCGACUCCAUGAAGUCGGAAUCGCUAGUAAUCGUAGAUCAGAAUGCUACGGUGAAUACGUUCCCGGGCCUUGUACACACCGCCCGUCACACCAUGGGAGUGGGUUGCAAAAGAAGUAAGUAGCUUAACCUUCGGGAGGGCGCUUACCACUUUGUGAUUCAUGACUGGGGUGAAGUCGUAACAAGGUAACCGUAGGGGAACCUGCGGUUGGAUCACCUCCUUA
rnacentral:rRNA from 1 species